GACGAACGCUGGCGGCGUGCCUAAUACAUGCAAGUUGAGCGCUGAAGGUUGGUACUUGUACCAACUGGAUGAGCAGCGAACGGGUGAGUAACGCGUGGGGAAUCUGCCUUUGAGCGGGGGACAACAUUUGGAAACGAAUGCUAAUACCGCAUAAAAACUUUAAACACAAGUUUUAAGUUUGAAAGAUGCAAUUGCAUCACUCAAAGAUGAUCCCGCGUUGUAUUAGCUAGUUGGUGAGGUAAAGGCUCACCAAGGCGAUGAUACAUAGCCGACCUGAGAGGGUGAUCGGCCACAUUGGGACUGAGACACGGCCCAAACUCCUACGGGAGGCAGCAGUAGGGAAUCUUCGGCAAUGGACGAAAGUCUGACCGAGCAACGCCGCGUGAGUGAAGAAGGUUUUCGGAUCGUAAAACUCUGUUGGUAGAGAAGAACGUUGGUGAGAGUGGAAAGCUCAUCAAGUGACGGUAACUACCCAGAAAGGGACGGCUAACUACGUGCCAGCAGCCGCGGUAAUACGUAGGUCCCGAGCGUUGUCCGGAUUUAUUGGGCGUAAAGCGAGCGCAGGUGGUUUAUUAAGUCUGGUGUAAAAGGCAGUGGCUCAACCAUUGUAUGCAUUGGAAACUGGUAGACUUGAGUGCAGGAGAGGAGAGUGGAAUUCCAUGUGUAGCGGUGAAAUGCGUAGAUAUAUGGAGGAACACCGGUGGCGAAAGCGGCUCUCUGGCCUGUAACUGACACUGAGGCUCGAAAGCGUGGGGAGCAAACAGGAUUAGAUACCCUGGUAGUCCACGCCGUAAACGAUGAGUGCUAGAUGUAGGGAGCUAUAAGUUCUCUGUAUCGCAGCUAACGCAAUAAGCACUCCGCCUGGGGAGUACGACCGCAAGGUUGAAACUCAAAGGAAUUGACGGGGGCCCGCACAAGCGGUGGAGCAUGUGGUUUAAUUCGAGGCAACGCGAAGAACCUUACCAGGUCUUGACAUACUCGUGCUAUUCCUAGAGAUAGGAAGUUCCUUCGGGACACGGGAUACAGGUGGUGCAUGGUUGUCGUCAGCUCGUGUCGUGAGAUGUUGGGUUAAGUCCCGCAACGAGCGCAACCCCUAUUGUUAGUUGCCAUCAUUAAGUUGGGCACUCUAACGAGACUGCCGGUGAUAAACCGGAGGAAGGUGGGGAUGACGUCAAAUCAUCAUGCCCCUUAUGACCUGGGCUACACACGUGCUACAAUGGAUGGUACAACGAGUCGCGAGACAGUGAUGUUUAGCUAAUCUCUUAAAACCAUUCUCAGUUCGGAUUGUAGGCUGCAACUCGCCUACAUGAAGUCGGAAUCGCUAGUAAUCGCGGAUCAGCACGCCGCGGUGAAUACGUUCCCGGGCCUUGUACACACCGCCCGUCACACCACGGGAGUUGGGAGUACCCGAAGUAGGUUGCCUAACCGCAAGGAGGGCGCUUCCUAAGGUAAGACCGAUGACUGGGGUG
rnacentral:rRNA from 1 species